rnacentral:lncRNA from 1 species
UGCUAAAUGACACUACUGAUAUUUCUUCUCACGUUUUGCUUCAGUACAUUGAAUCUCCCGAUGUGGAAAAGGAAGUGAAGAGAUUGCUGUGCUCAGAUGCUGAAGCCGUCAGUGCCCGAUGGGAAGUCAUUGCUGAUGAUGAUACCAAGGAUAUAGAAAGUCAAGGAAGCAUUCCAGGCUUACCAGUAUCCCUGGAAAUGAGUGACUACAAGCAAGGAGAUACCUCAACAGAGUAUGAUAUAAUUCGAGAGCUGUUCAGUGAUUCCAGUAGUAACAUUCAUGGUAAUGAGGAUGAGGAUGAAAAGCAGGGCGAAGAGGAUGAUGAUGAUGAUGAUGACGAUGACGACGACAACGACGACGAAGAGGACGAGGAGGAAGAGGAGGAUGAACAUUUUGAAGAGGCUCUAGAAAGGGAGCUGCAGGCCAAGAUUACUGAAUAUCGCCAGAAUAAGACUAAGACAGGUGCCCGUGAAAUAGUUAUGGAAAUUCAGAAAAAUAUUCAUUACAAGGAGAAAAAGCUCCAUGUGAUUCAAAUCAAAGCACAAAGGCAGAAGAAUAUUUUCAGAAAAGUGGAAAACCUGGCCCUCAGGAACCAUUUAAGAUGUGUGCUGGAGAAUCUUAACAUACAGGAAAAACAAACAAAUGAGCAGAUCGCUUCCCUAAAGGAGAAGUUGAACUAUUUUCUGAAGAAAUGAAGAGAGCGUUCAACCUGGCAUAUCAACGUUGGAUCCACCAUCCAGACUAAAGUCUGGGUGAAGCUGUGCAUCUCUUGGUCCUUUCAGCUGCCUUAGUUGCAUCUGUUCCUCUAAACCUUUUUUUUUUCUUUUUGCUAGAGAUAACAUAGUAGAAGCUCACACUCAUGUAAAAAUAGUACUUAAAAAGUAGUAGAUUUAAAGAGCCUACUCAGUGAUGGAACUUUGCUUCUCCUUAUCAAUUUUAGAAUGACAUAAUUGCUUUUGUGCCGUGGUGCCAUCAGGUGACUCACCUGUGCUUGCCAAAGGCAGACAUUGUAGCCUCAGAGGUCAUACAACUGAUUUGAGUGUGUUUUAGCUUUUCCAAACCCUUCUGAUUAAGUAUUUCCUACAACAUAGAAAAAAAUCAGUUCAUUUCUGUCAUGAGCUAGGACCUGCCACAGUGAAUUAAAGUGCCUACCUUAGAGCAGUUAGUAAUAGUUUAUAUCCUGUCUGUUCAGGUAAUAGGGCUGCUUUCUUGCUCAGGGAUAAUUUCUUGCUUCUGCUUAUCUUUAUACAGCUGUCGUGUAUUUAGGACUGUGGCUGGUUGUUAUUCAUGAAGUAAGGAAACCGUCAGAAGAGAGUUGAAAAGUUCUGAGCUGUUUUCUUAUUCUGAGCCUCCUCAUACUAAUCCCCAUUAGAAGAGUUCAGGAAAACUCAGAUGCUUAUAAUGCCUAUGAACAGUUCUUUAACAACCCUGAAUCAUUUUAGAGUAUUUUUAUUUUCAUCUCUAUUGUGAUUUUCUGGUCUGUAUUCUUUAAGCAAUAAAUAAAUUCUUUCUUUUAAGUAGAUUGCUGUCAACUUUUUUUGAGUGGGGGCAGUGUUGAGGAUCCAACC